GGUCAAGUGAAUAAGCGCAUGUGGUGGAUGCCUAGGCGGCAUAAGGCGAUGAAGGACGUAGUAAUCUGCGAUAAGCUUCGGUGAGUUGAUAAACAAACUUUGACCCGGGGAUUUCCGAAUGAGUGAACUCAGUCUACAUAAGUAGAUUAUCUCCAUCUGAAUAUAUAGGAUGGUAGAAGCAAACCUGGAGAACUGAAACAUCUAAGUACCCAGAGGAAAAGAAAUCAAUUGAGAUUUCCUUAGUAGCGGCGAGCGAAAAGGAAACAGCCCAGUUAUUUUAAUCCACAUUUUAACUAAUAAAACAAUCUGGAAAGGUUGGCCAAAGAAGGUGAUAGCCCUGUAUGUGAAAGUUUUAGUGUGGUGGAUAACGAUGAGUAGAGCGGGACACGAGAAAUCUUGCUUGAACAUGGGGGGACCAUCCUCCAAGGCUAAAUACUCUAUGCCGACCGAUAGUGAACUAGUACUGUGAAGGAAAGGCGAAAAGAACCCCUGUUAGGGGAGUGAAAUAGAACCUGAAACCGUGUGCGUACAAGCAGUGGGAGCCCUUUCGGGGGUGACUGCGUACCUUUUGUAUAAUGGGUCAGCGACUUACUUUUUGUAGCAAGCUUAACCGUAAUAGGGUAGGCGAAGGGAAACCGAGUCUUAAUAGGGCGUUUAGUUGCAAGGAGUAGACCCGAAACCGGGUGAUCUAUCCAUGGCCAGUGUGAAGGUGGGGUAAUUCCUACUGGAGGCACGAACCCACUUAUGUUGAAAAAUGAGGGGAUGAGCUGUGGAUCGGAGUGAAAGGCUAAUCAAACCCGGAGAUAGCUGGUUCUCCGCGAAAGCUAUUUAGGUAGCGCCUCGUGUAUUACUGUUGGGGGUAGAGCACUGUUAUGGCUAGGGGUCCAUCCCGGAUUACCAAACCAUUGCAAACUCCGAAUACCAACAAGUAGAGCACGGGAGACAGACUGCGGGUGCUAACGUCCGUAGUCAAGAGGGAAACAACCCAGACCAACAGCUAAGGUCCCAAAAUUAUGACUAAGUGGAAAACGAAGUGGGAAGGCCCAGACAUCCAGGAGGUUGGCUUAGAAGCAGCCAUCCUUUAAAGAAAGCGUAAUAGCUCACUGGUUGAGUCGGCCUGCGCGGAAGAUUUAACGGGGCUCAAGUCAUAUACCGAAGCUUUGGACUCUAGUUUACUAGAGUGGUAGCGGAGCGUUCUGUACGUCACUGAAGGUGUAUCGUGAGAUAUGCUGGAGAUAUCAGAAGUGCGAAUGCUGACAUAAGUAACGAUAAUGUAGGUGAGAACCCUACACGCCGAAAACCUAAGGUUUCCUCCGCAACGUCAAUCGGCGGAGGGUUAGUCGGUACCUAAGGCGAGGCCGAAAGGCGUAGUCGAUGGAAAACAGGUUAAUAUUCCUGUACUCCUUUAUAUUGCGAUGGGGGGACGGAGAAGGUUAAAUCAGCCAGUCAACGGUUAUACUGGUUUAAGCAGGUAGGAAUGUUUCUUUGGUAAAUCCGGGAAGCUUUAUUCCGAGACGCGACGACGAAGUUUUUUCUUCGGGAAAAACGAAGUGAUCUAUACCAUACU
rnacentral:rRNA from 1 species